CAUCAGGUCUCCAAGGUGAA
rnacentral:snRNA from 1 species